rnacentral:tRNA from 1 species
AUUCAGUUGGUAGAGUACAAAGUUUUUAACCUUGUGGACGUGGGUUCAAGCCCCAU